rnacentral:rRNA from 1 species
GAAGAACGCUGGCGGCGUGCCUAAUACAUGCAAGUCGAGCGAAUGGAUUAAGAGCUUGCUCUUAUGAAGUUAGCGGCGGACGGGUGAGUAACACGUGGGUAACCUGCCCAUAAGACUGGGAUAACUCCGGGAAACCGGGGCUAAUACCGGAUAACAUUUUGAACCGCAUGGUUCGAAAUUGAAAGGCGGCUUCGGCUGUCACUUAUGGAUGGACCCGCGUCGCAUUAGCUAGUUGGUGAGGUAACGGCUCACCAAGGCAACGAUGCGUAGCCGACCUGAGAGGGUGAUCGGCCACACUGGGACUGAGACACGGCCCAGACUCCUACGGGAGGCAGCAGUAGGGAAUCUUCCGCAAUGGACGAAAGUCUGACGGAGCAACGCCGCGUGAGUGAUGAAGGCUUUCGGGCCGUAAAACUCUGUUGUUAGGGAAGAACAAGUGCUAGUUGAAUAAGCUGGCACCUUGACGGUACCUAACCAGAAAGCCACGGCUAACUACGUGCCAGCAGCCGCGGUAA